rnacentral:rRNA from 1 species
UACGUAGGGUGCGAGCGUUGUCCGGAAUUACUGGGCGUAAAGAGCUCGUAGGUGGUUUGUCGCGUUGUUCGUGAAAACUCACAACUCAAUUUGUGGGCGUGCGGGCGAUACGGGCAGACUGGAGUACUGCAGGGGAAACUGGAAUUCCUGGUGUAGCGGUGGAAUGCGCAGAUAUCAGGAAGAACACCUAUGGCGAAGGCAGCUCUCUGGGACGGUACUGACGCUGAGACGCGAAAGCGUGGGGAGCGAACAGG